rnacentral:tRNA from 1 species
GUAGUCGUGGCCGAGUGGUUAAGGCGAUGGACUAGAAGUCCAUUGGGGUAUUCCCGCUCAGGUUCGAGUCCUGCCGACUACG